GACGAACGCUGGCGGCGUGCCUAACACAUGCAAGUCGAACGAGGUCCAUGCAGUGGCAACACUGCAGAAGACCUAGUGGCGAACGGGUGAGUAACACGUGAGGAACUUGCCCCGGAGACCGGGAUAACCCUCCGAAAGGAGAGCUAAUACCGGAUGUCCUCACCGAGUCGCAUGGCUUGGUGAGGAAAUGGAUUCCGCUCCGGGAGAGCCUCGCGGCCUAUCAGCUUGUUGGCGGGGUAACGGCCCACCAAGGCAUCGACGGGUAGCUGGUCUGAGGAGACGAUCAGCCACACUGGGACUGAGACACGGCCCAGACUCCUACGGGAGGCAGCAGUGGGGAAUCUUGCGCAAUGGGCGAAAGCCUGACGCAGCAACGCCGCGUGCGGGAUGAAGGCCCUCGGGUUGUAAACCGCUUUCAGUGGGGACGAACCAAGACGGUACCCACAGAAGAAGCCCCGGCCAACUACGUGCCAGCCGCCGCCGUAACAC
rnacentral:rRNA from 1 species